rnacentral:sRNA from 1 species
GCUGGGCACGGUGGUGCAUGCCUGUAAUCUCAGCUGCUCAGAAGGCUGAGGCAGGAGGAUGACAAGUUCAAAGCCAGCCUCAG